CCCCGCACGGGCGAAUUUUGACUGAUAGCAGAUAGCCUUCCCCUCGUUAGCCACUGCCCAAGCUGGGAAUGGAAUGGACAGGCCUCUGCUUGACUCUCCCUCCCGUUGCCGAGACUGAGAGAGUGCUGGAGACUCUCCAGAUGCGACCCUGAGAGAGAUAUGUUCAAUCAGAAGAUGGUCUAUUACAGUACGGUAUAAAUUUACUGGACAGAACUGUAGACUACUUAAAAAUGCUCGUAGUUUCCAAGAGCCAGGAUUUCCUCAAAAGUUAUAGGAGAUGAGUGACAAAUUCCAACCCUCUGUUGGAAAAACAGUCUUAAAGGAAUAUGAAGAUGCAAGAGAGCGAAAGCAAGAGCAGCAAAUGCAUCGACAGUUAAGAGGCCUAGAAUUCGAAAACCCUGGCCCUGUGUUGGCAGAAUUCAAUCCUAACAAGAGGGAACUAGAAAAGAAAGCUCAACUUUCAAAGAUGAAGAAGUACUUCAAGUCAAGCAUCGCUUUGCCGAAGUACGACCAAGAUGGACUGCUGCUGUGUAACGGUGUAGACCUAUGUGACUGCCUGGAGCGAUGUUGCCCGGGUUGCUUCUAUCCGUGUCCCGUGUGUUCAUCAAGCAAAUGUGGGCCCACUUGCCGCUGUAAUCGAAAGUGGGUUUAUGAGAGCAUUCAAACCGAAGCUGGUGAAAUCAGUGAAAUGCCAUUUCUUGUUCCUGAUUGAAAGUCUGUUAUUUGGGAACUUGAUUUUUCUAGAAUAGAUUUAAGUUGACCUUUCUUAAAUUGUAUUGUUGGGAGAAAAUGUUGUAUAAAUAGUACUGAAGUCUGUACUUUGAAAGCAUAAUACAGUGAAGAUUCACUUUGCUACGUUAUUUUUAGUUUUCAUGAAAACUUCAUUUUUUAAAGACUGUGAAUGCUUGUACUAACGUUUCCAGGAUCAGCUCUGACAGUGGAAUUGGGUGGCCUUGGGCAAGUCACUACCUUGUAUCUGUGCUUCAGUUUCCCAGUCUGUAAAAUGGGGUUUAAAUGCUUGAUGUCCCUUCCACCUUAGAUUGAGUGGUCCCAUGUGGGACAAGGACUCUGACCUGAUCACCUUGUAUCUACCCUUAAAUCUUUAAUAAAACUUUAUUAACCCAC